rnacentral:rRNA from 1 species
UCCUACGGGAGGCAGCAGUAAGGAAUAUUCCACAAUGAGCGAAAGCUUGAUGGAGCGACACAGAGUGCAGGAUGAAGUCUUUAAGGAUGUAAACUGCUGUUGUAAGGGAAGAAAAAACUAGAUAGGAAAUGAUUUAGUCUUGACGGUACCUUAUUAGAAAGUGACGGCAAACUAUGUGCCAGCAGCCGCGGUAAUACAUAGGUCGCAAGCGUUAUCCGGAAUUAUUGGGCGUAAAGCGUCCGCAGGUUUUUUGUUAAGUUUAAGGUUAAAUGCUAAAGCUCAACUUUAGUUCGCUUUAGAUACUGACAAAAUAGAAUUAUGAAGAGGUUAGCGGAAUUCCUAGUGGAGCGGUGGAAUGCGUAGAUAUUAGGAAGAACACCAAUAGGCGAAGGCAGCUAACUGGUCAUAUAUUGACACUGAUGGACGAAAGCGUGGGGAGCAAACAGGAUUAGAUACCCUGGUAGUCC